rnacentral:lncRNA from 1 species
UAAAUAAAAUGGCUUGCUCAAGAAACCAGGUUUGAAGUGGAGGUUUGCCGUCACUCCCCAGAUCUGUAUGGAAGUGUCAGAAGUGGAGUCAGCUAGUUAGUUCACCCCAAUAGGUACUGAGAGCUAUUAAGUCUGUACCACUGUGUCGGGAGAGACCAGGAGGAAUCGAGCAGACUCCAAGAUGAUGAUUAAGGUGGGCCCUAAUCCAAUCUGACUGGUGUCCUCGUAAGAAGAGAAGAUGAGGACACAGACAAACACAGAGGGAAGACUGUGUGAGGGCACAGGGAGAAAAUGACUCUCUACAACAAGGAGAGAGGCUUCAGAAUAAACCAAUUCUGCUGACACCUCUCAAACUUCUAGCCUCCAGAAGAGUGAGGAAAUCCAUUUCUGUUGUAUAAGCCACCCAGUUUGUGGUGUUUAUUAUGGCGGCCCUAGCAAGGGAAUACAGAGGGAGACAGGUUCAGACAUGUAAAGCGAGCCUUUAAAAGACACCACGUGCACCAGUGGAGCCCCAGGCCCAGGCCCCACAGACCUUGCCUCCUGGUCCAGUCCUUACUUUAUCUCAGGAUGUGACAUUGCGUUUCUUAUGGAAAAGAUCUCACUAACCUACUUCAUUUAGGAAUGCAAUUUAAUUGGCAACUCAACGGUGAUGUCGCUUCUUUUGCCAUUUUUCUGCAACACCAAAGGAAAAAAUUUUAAGCCAGCUUUUUUUAGCUGCAAAGAUGACAAAUGUUAUCAACAAUAUCCAACCAGAGUAUAUUUUCAUCCCUUUUCAUCCCGUCACGAUAAGCCAGAAGUAUUUGUUGCCAGAAAUGGAAAACAGCUUGUUCAUCAGCCAGAUGAUCGCAGUGCUCAGAAGUUCCACUCGUUUGCCAUGUGUGAAAAGUUAAGAAUUGAAAACAGACAGGCUUGCUCUGCUUAAACCGUGAGUUCUGUGAAGCAAGAGAAAGAGAAAUUUGGAUACUAGGAGAAGAGUUGUGAGAUGGUUUCGACGGCAAAGUGAACAGGGCCUUUUCACAUUAUUCUGAGAUGGGACCUCUGGGUUGAUUUGAUAGUGGAUAUGACUGUUCUCUAAUUGGCUAGAAGAUGAGUCUAAAGUUACCAACCACCGGAGGAUACUUUUGUGUUCUAGAACAAAUUCCAAUGUCCUACACAAAUGUGAUGCUGGGGACUUCUCUGUUACCUGACACCAAAUUUCCUAGACAUUUCCAUUAUACUUCCUCUUCCUGAUUAUCUUGAGUGGGAAAUCUCCAUGAGUUCUUAGUAGAAGGCAGAAGUAUACAGUGGACCUGGGCCUUCAUUAGAAACCAUGAGACUUCAAAUGAGAGCCUGAAUUAUUCCUUUAUGUUUUCAUUUAUGUGAGAAAAUAAGGGAUAUUGUUGACUUUUUAUGAGAUUAAGUUACCCAGUUAUCCAUCCUAUUAUUAUAAGUUUUAGUGUUUGCAAAGAGAUUUCUGAUCGUUUUUAUUAGUCUCUUUGUAAUAGCUUCAGGGACUUUUUGACAAAAGAGAGAACCAUUUUAAGCAGUAGAAAUGUAGGCUUACAGAGGUCAAAUGGUUAAUUUGAGAUUGCCCAGCAAAACAAAACAAUACGAAAAAGAACACCUGAAGAAAAAUCAAGAUUCAUACUCUGGGCUGUAAUUACCAUUCUGUAGGUUUCCGGAAGCUCAUAUAGUCACAUUACAUUUUGUUCAUGUCGUUAGAAAUCAUUUGCAGUUCAACACUUAGAUUCCCUCCUGUGUUUGAUUUGCAAGGUCUUGGAAGUUAACUUGAACUCAAGGAUUUGUCUACCUAAGAGAGGCAAAUAGAAAAACCCCUAAAGCCACCUGACCUGAUUCUUCUUUGUUAAGACCAGCUCAGAAUAGAGUGAAAUAAGCAAGCUGCAGAAAGACAAUGCUACGUUGAGUUCCACUUCCUCUUGAUAAAUUCAGAACAGCCAGUCCAUCUUAAGGGUGGAUGUUUUUAGCAGCAGGGAGUGGUAGUUGGAUGGAGGCAAGCGGAUGGAAAGGAGGAGAGAGGAGAAGAGAGACAAACUCAGGUGCCCCAGAAAAGUCCACUUUCUCCGUCCCCAUUCAGGCCACCUUCAUCUUCCCCCACCCUCUGCUGGCCUUUCUGGGGGCUCAGGUUUUGAGCUGACUGAGCCCUCAGCGGGAGACCACAACGCAUUUUCAGAUGAAAGGACAACCCUGAAGGUACCUAUUACAUGUCUGUGAGCAGAGAAACAAAGGCCCGGCUGCUGACACCCUCCCACUAACUUGAGUUUUAAUGGUAGGUUUGAUUUCCUCACGCUUAGCUGAAAGAAAGGGAAAAAACUAAGCGGAAAGAACGAGGGUGUGGGUAUCUGUGGUGGUGGGGAAACGACAGCUGUUGUAUUCAUGGUUAAUCAGGUGUGUCUGGCUUUGUGUCGCAUCUGUCUGCUACUGUUGCCAGGCCACAUGUGAAAGGGAACCGAGGGGAAGGGGCCAUUCAUGUUCAAAGCCAGUAGCACUGACCUCUGCCUCGUUCUCUUCAGGGUAGGAAAGCUUGUCUAUUUAACUUUCCCUAUUAUAGGAAGCUGUAAUUCUACUCUAUUAGCCCACCCUAACCAUUUUGGCCUGACAAAUGCAAGCUGCAUCCAGAAUGCCAUAAAUCUGCAUGGGAAGGAGUCCUCCUCCCUCCUUCCCAUUUUUUUCCUUUGGGGUUCGGUUCGAUUUGUCAAACAAGAGAAAACCAGCAAGAGAGAGAAAAAUGAGAACUCAGGGCAUCUUGGUUCACCUUCCAUCUUAAAUGGGCCUAGGGACCGAGAUGGGGGCUGGGAGGCACCCCAAGGUCAAGCCUGGAGCACUGGUUCCCCCUCCAGAUCUGUUUAUCUCACGAGUCCCACAUGCGUGUGGUGAUUGCGUCAGACCUUAGUCAUCUCCCUGGCACCAAAUCCUCCUCCUGGAUCCUUGAUCCCCCUCCUCCUUCUCUGCCCACAUACAGAGGGACCAUGAUGGAGGAGGGGAGGCUUCUGGCUUCUCCUGGAGCCAGGCCUGUGUUCUAGAUAUUGCUGGCCCAGGCCUGCCAGGCACGACUCUCCUCUCUGGCAUAUGGAGAAACAGCUGAAAUGGAAACAACCCCCAAUGCACCACAUUGCACUAAAGCUUAGCGUCAGAGUUCAAAGGACUACUCCAAUUGGAGAUCAAACUGAUCCCUCCCACUGUGGCCUUUUUUGAGGGGGUCCAUCACAACCCUUCGGGGGUGCUUUUCUCCAGCACUUCCGCUUCAGGGCCAGCCCUUGUGUUUCUUGGAGUAAAUGAUUGCUGUCAGCAUUUCCAACACCAUGGAGUUCUGGCUCCAACUUUGGCUUCCUGGAGAAUGGGCCAUCAUAGACUUAUUACAGGGUUCAGAAGAGCUUGCCAUCUGCAAUCUAUUUUAGUUGUCACUGCCUCUUAAAAUAGGCACUAACUUUUAUCCCAUCACAUUAAUUCCUCUCAUGUUGAGGCUAGAGUCGAGCUUUUGGGGUGUGUGUAUGCACGUAACUAUCUUUUUAAAAUCAGAAGGGUUAUUUUCCUAAGACAUGGGUUAUCAGCAGCACAGCUGAGUUUCCUCUUUCUACUGGCCUGUGCUGAUGAAGUUGGUUGCGUUAUUGACCUGCAGCUUUGGGGUCAGAAUGCUUUUGGUUCCCUGAUGUAGAAGGACAUUGCAAAACUAUCCCAGUGCCCUGUGCACUGUCUUUCUCUCUCUGAUACUCCCCAGAUCUCCAAAUUUUAAUGGUGUCAAUAGACAUAACUCAUGCUCCUGCUAGAAGCCUAGCACCCUGCUAGGCUCUGUGAGGACUUUGAGAAUUUGUCAUCUUGUGAGACGCCAUGAAUAAUGCAAGAAAUAGCAAAACAGGUCUGAAAAUGAAGUCUAACUAAAAAGUGUACAAAUCCUAAGUGUACAGCUCUAUGAAUUAUUACUAAGUGAAUAUGCUCACGUAACCAUCACCUAGAUUAAGAAACAGAACAUUACCGCCACUGGAAACUUCUUAAAGUUCUACCUAGGUGGACACCUUGUUAUAUCUAAAACAAUUCUACAACGUGAUUGGGAGUGAGAUUUAGUUCUUAAUUAUGUGGCUAUGGAAAUGUAGAUUUUGAAAGGUUCCCAUUGGCUGGAAGAGAUUUGCCCAUGGGAAGAUUUUGAGUAUGCCCUGGGCUGGCCUGCUGAAGUUGAACUUUAGAGAACCCGGGCGGGCUGGCUGUGCAAUGCUCUUGGCUCCAGAGAAGGACAUGCAAGAUUCUGGCAUCCUUUUUAAAAAAAUUGUGGUAAAAUAUACAUAACAUAAAAUUAAUCAUUGUAAUCAUUUUUAAGUGUGCAGCUCAGCAGUGUUAAGUACAGAUUGUUGCGCAAUGAUCACCACCAUCCAUCCCCAGAGCUCUUUCAUCUUGAAAAACGGAAACUCAAUACCCAUUAAACAGCAACUCCCUAUUUCCCUCCACCCCCAUACCCGGUAACUACCAUUCUACUUUCUGUCUUUCUGAAUUUGACUACUGUAGGUACCUCACAGAAGUAGAAUCAUGCCAUAUUUGUCUUUUUGAGACCGUUUUAUUUCACUGAGCGUAAUGUCCUCAAGGUUCAUCCAUGUCAUGGCAUGUGUCAGAAUUCCCUUCCUUUUUAAGGCUGAAUAAUAUUCCACUGUACAUGUGUACCACAUUUAGUUUACUCAUUCAUCCAUCCAGGGACUCUUGGGUCACUGCCACCUUUUGGCUCCUGCAAAUAAUGCUGCUUUGAACAUGGGUGUACAAAUUACCCUUAUGCACCUUUCCAUUCUUUUGGGUGUAUACCUAAAAGUGGGAUUGCUGGAUCAUAUGGUAAUUGUAUCUUUAGUUUUGGAGGAAUUACUAUAUCAUUUGCUGUAGCAGCUCACUAUUCUGGAAUCCUUUUCACCUGGACCAUUUCCUCCUGACCAGCCUCCUGGAUGGCAUUAGAGGGAGCCUGACACGUGGAUUGAGGUGGUGGCAAUAGUGAGGAUGGUGGUCUGUACUCUGUAUGUGCCCGUUGUUGGGAAUCUAGAGCAAAUGGGGCAGGAUGGAGUGUGACACCACAAUCCAUGGUGGAAACUUGAGAGUUCACUGAAUAGAGGGGGAGGAAUUUAUUUAUUUACUUAUUUUUAUUUUUGAGACAGGGUCUUGCUCUGUCACUUAGGCUGGCAUGCAGUGGUGCAACAUAGCUCACUGCAGCCUUGAACUCCUGGGCUCAAGAGAUGUUUCCACCUCAGUCUCCUGAGCAACUGAGACGACAGGCCCACAUCACCACACCUAGCUAUUUAAAAAAAUUAUUUUUAUUUUGUAGAGAUGGGGUCUCAUUAUGUUGCCCAAGCUGCUCUUGGUCUCAAACUCUUGAGCUCAAGUGAUGCUCCCACCUUCAGCCUCCCAAAGUGCUAGAUUUACAGACGUGAGCCACUGUGCCCAGUCUGUGGGAAUAGUUCAUUUUGCACAAAGAUAAAUGCUUUUCCCCCUAAUUUGUGGGAGACUGAGGUUAAAGGAGUCCUUAAUAACCAGGUAUUCAGAGGCCUUCUGCCUGUUCAGUGUAUCACCUCCAGAUUUUUGGGGGGCCUUUAGGCGUAAGUGUUGAGAUAUUUAUAGAACAGAUUAUGAGCUUUUAAAUAGAUUACCUAAAAAAAAAGAAGAAGAGAGAGAGUGAGGGAAAUGGUAGCCAGUAAACCAACUGAGGAAGGCACACACCUUUUGCCUGAUAGGGAUGUCGAGGAGAGGGAUGCCACUUGAAUACGAAGGUCGUUCUUGGGCUCACGGGUGCAGUCGUUUGGGUUUAGUGCUGGCUGCUGAUGCCAGAAGCACUCAGUAUUGAACAUUCAGGGGCUUCUUCAAACAAUUUUAAGUAUUUCUGUUUUCUAAAUCUUGAUGCUUUAUUGCUAGGGAUAAGCUCACAUUAAUAUCCACUGGAAGGAAGAACUAUGAGGAUCACCAGGGUGAGGACCUUUAGAACUGAAGAAGGACACAUUAUUAUUGCUAAAAGAAUAUCUGCUUCUUCCCAGUUCCUUCCCUUUGGCCUUCUCCCAUUUCAUUAUAGGAAAAAAAAGCUCCAUGAAAUUACAUAUUGUUUUCUUAAAUUUAAAAGAUACGUAUGGCUGCCACCUAAAGUCUGUCAAGGAAAAAAAAUGUCCUACCCCAAAUGGUAACCAUUAUUUAACAGUUGUUUUAUUUUCUUCCAAAACGCUCUGUAUAUAUUCACUGUGCUUUUGAGGCAGCACAGUUUAGUUCUAAUUACUUACAACCCAAACACCACCAAUUAUAAAAAUAUACAGAUACUACCCGUAUGCAACUCUUUACCAUUAUAAACUACUUUCACAUAUAAUUGAACCUUAUCAAAAUUGAAAUUAGUAGUAGUCUUUUUUUUUUUUUUUUUGAGAGGGAGUCUGGCACUGUUGCCCAGGCUGGAGUGCAGUGGUGUGAUCUUGGCUCUUGGCUCACUUCAACCUCUGCCUUCCGGGUUCAAGCGAUUCUCCUGCCUCAGCCUCCUGAGUAGCUGGGAUUACAGGCAUGCGCCACCAUGUCUGGCUAAUUUUUGUAUUUUUAGUAGAGACUGAGUUUUGUCAUGUUGGCCAGGCUGGUCUCAAACUCCCAACCUCAGAUGAUCUACCUGCCUUGGCCUCUGAAGUGCUGGGACUACAGGUGUAAGCCACCAAGCUUGGCUGAAAUUGGUAUUAUUCUUAUUUAAUAGAAAGGAGAGGCAGGGGAGAUUAAGACACUUGUUCAAAUUUACACCACAUGUUAGAAAAUGGAGUUGGGACAAGAAUCCAAGUCAUUGAAGUAAACUGUAGGUCCACAAGCCUUUCUCCUCCACCAUAGAAUCUGGAGUGAACAUUGGAGGCCAAAGUGCCUUACAGAAAUACUUAAAGGAGCUACCAAGUCACUGGCUUCAUAAAGCUGACUAAUCUUCAUGUGUCCAUGGUGUCAGUUUAUGAAACCCUUUAUCUUAUACGAGGAGGCACACUGGACUCACUAAGAAUUGCAAUGAGAAUUGAGUUUAUUGGAAUAGGUAUAACCUCAAUAGAAUCAUAGAGAAGACAACUGAGAACCUGGAAAACAUUUUUAGUAUUCAUGAGUGUGUUGGCACCAGCUUAUUUAUAAAGUUGUUUUGACAACGUGUGUGCCUUAAACUUCUAUUUAUAAGAAGUAAAAUGGAAUCAUCUUCUUACCCUGCUGAGUUGCAAAUUCUGUUUUAGGGCAAAUUUUUAAUCUGCCUCUUUAAUAUAGAGCAAUAGAUAUAUUUUUUUUCCUGCUGAGUUUAUUUUUUCAAGUACAUAAGUUAAUUAAGAACCAUUUACCUGAAGAUAUGUUUUCUUCCUUAUGAAGUACAUAAUGAGAACAUGGCCACAGAUGUUAGGUAGUGACAGAAAUGCCUGUCUGGAAGGUGAAUUCUUUAAAUUUUUUUUAUCUCACAAUAGCUGUAUAGAGAAUUGUUGAUGGUUCAUGUUUUAUUUCCCUUUGUUAUAAAAUUUUCAUAGUUUGCAAAAAUAAAAGUUAUGGGCUAUGUGUCCUUUAUUUGAUACUCCCUGUGAGAAAGGGUAAGAUAGAAGAUUCAGUAAUGGCCAGUGUUGGUGGAAGAGACUGCUGCUUGUAACCAGUAGAGAGGAACGGGGGGUGGGGAAGUUUACUUCAGCACUGUAUUGAUUAGAAUUAGAUUCUUCUUUAUAGGAGACAGAAAUAUCUUAUAUAAGUGGCAUAAAAAUAUGAAAGUAAAUGUGUCUUUUACAUAAAAGAAAUUCAGAGUUGCAGUCUAUGGCUGGUAUGGUUCCUCCAUGAGGUUUUCAGAUACUCAGUUUCCUUCUAGUUCAUUAAUCUGUCAUUCUUAGGUUAUAGCUUUUGUCUUUAUUGUCUUCAUGAUUCAAGAUGGCUGCUAGAGCUCCAGCCAUCAUUCCUUCCUUCCUUCUUUCCUUCCUUCAUUUCUUUCUUUCCUUCUUUCCUUCUUUCUCUCUUUCUCUCUCCUUCCUUCCUUCCUUCCCCCCUUCCUUCCUUCCUUCUUUCUUUCAUUCUUUUGUUCUUUCUUGCUCUCUCACCCAGACUGGAGUGCAGUGGCACAAUCACAGCUCACUACAGCCUCUAACUCCUGGGCUUAAGUGAUCCUCCUGCCUCAGCUUCUCGAGUAGCUGAGGCUACAGUUGCACAGUACUAUGCCUGGCUAAUUUUUAAAUUCUUUGUAGAGAGAGGGUCUUGCUUGGUUUCCUGGGCUGGUCUUGAAAUCCUGGCCUUGAUCUCCUGCCUUGGCCUCCCAAAGUUGCUAGGAUUACGGAUAUGAGCCACUGCACCUGGCUCAUGUGUGUGUGUGUGUGUGUGUGUGUUUUUACAGAGGAACUUCCUAGAAAUUCCACACAAUACUUCUGCUUAUGUUGUAUUGUCCAGAACCUAGUCAUAUGGCCACAUUUACCUGCCAGGUAGGCUGGGAAAUAUAUGUUGUGGAUGGCAAUAAGCUGAAAUAAAAAUUGAAGUUCUGUUAUUGAAAAGGGGAAAAAUGGAUUUUUUUUUCCAGGAAGAACUUUUUAUUAAUAUAAAGUUUUAAGAUAUUCACCAGUCAGAUCUAAACUUACUCAUUAAACUCUAUUUUUAAAAAAUGAACACACUGUACUGCAGUGAAAGGCAGGAACGUGGUUUUAGACACUGAUUGAAAACCAGUGUCUUCACGCACUGAGAACAGGAAACAUUCUGCACUGCGAACGAAGUGCACAGUCAACAGGAAGACACACACACACGACAGAAAGCCCCCAGUGUGAGUGACCGUGUACCUGGGCAGGUGACAGGAUGCCCAGGCCGUGGCUUGGACAUGGCUGCCACGCUGCGAUGCCUGCUGGGCCCCACAAGGACUGGGGACACACACAGAGCCCAGCUAUACACUGUGAUAGAGUCCACCCAUUUUGCUACCCUAUACCCAUGUGCACUGUUCUCCUACCUUCCUGCUACCUGGAUUGUGAUUGUAAGGCCUGGAUUCCAAGAUGUUAACUUGAUAAUAAAAGCCACACACAAUAGAACAGUAAGAUGCAAGGCACAUGCAUCCCUGGCACUGUGGAGCUGUGGACAGACUAGCUCUAGAUUUCCACGUGAGAGAGAAAUACCUCUCUAUUUUGAUUAAACCAUUUUGCUAGAGUUUUGAUGGUUGCAGCUGAGCCUAAUCUUAACAGAUACAAGCAUAAUAUAAACUUAUAAAAUAGUGUUCUUUUUAAGAUUGUGUCUUACUUUGCCUACCAAUGCAGGUGGACUGACCAUCUGCCUAUCCAGCCUGGCCUACCAUGUGAUACUAGGUAUACGAAGUUGGCUCAGAAGUUAAUUUCACUCACGGGAGCUUCUGUUCUAGGAAGAACAAACAAACCAAUGCAGUAAAGGGACUCCCAUUGCUUUAAUGGAAAUCUGUAUAAAAGAGAGUGGUGCCCAGAGAUAUUUGCUAUAUGCUCUACUGCCAUCUUAGACUAGGAAAAACCAAAACCAAAACAAUGCUGACCAUAGCAUAUUUUUUUCAUCAUUGACAUUAUCUUUAUAUUAAUCACUUGUAAUUAUUCCUUGAAUAUACAAAAUCUGACUAUUGGUUUUUGUUUAUAUUGAGAGAAUGAUGACAUCAGAUUAAACAUUAAUUUUCCCUUGAGAAUCUUUCAAUACAAUUGGAGUAGAAUUUUUUUUUUUUGAGACAGGGUCUUGCUGUGCCACCCAGGCUGGGGUGCAGUGGGGCAAUCAUGGCUCACUGCAGCCUCAACCUCCUGGGCUCAGGUGAUCCUCUUGCCUCAGCCUCCUAAGUAGCUGGUACCACACGCGUGCACCACCACACCUGACAAAUAUUGGAAAAUUAUUUAUAGAGAUGAGGUCUCCCUAUGUUGUUCAGACUGGUCUCAAACUCCUGAACUCAAGCGCUCCUCUUGCCUCGGACUCUUAAAGUGCUGAGAUUGCAGGUGUGAGCCACUGCACCCAGCCUGGAGCAGAAUAUUUUUACAUAAAACUAAAGAGAGGUUGGCGACUUAUAAUCGUGUUCAGGAGGUAGCAAAUGUUUUACUUAGGUGAGAAGAAAUAUACUUUUCGUGUUGUCAUAGAGUAAGCCCAAUCCUUAUUUACUUUUGUUACCAUUGGCAUGACAACAAUCAUUGGAGCAUCUUUGUCUUCCAAACAUUUCUUAUAUUAUUUACUUUUUCAUAGCAACUUAAAACGGAAGAUCAUAGAGUUUAGGUGACUUGCCCUAGGACACGCCCUUGGAAAAUAGUAGAGCCAGAAUUUGAAUUCAGUUCUGGGUCUCUUUUUUUUUUUUGAAUUCCAUUCAUGUGUUGAUAAUAGCUGCUAUGGAGACUUAGCCAGGAAAGCAGAUGUGGAUGGUUAGCGGAAGCUAAAGAGGAAAAAGGUUAAGCUUUUUUUUUGAAGUUUUCCUGCUCAGCUAGGAAAACAUUGCUGCAGUUAUCAGGUAAUUGAAGUGUCAACGUGACGCUGUCAGAAAGGUUGGAUGAAUUUGUUCCUGUUGGCCUAUAUUUGGCUGUUAAGUGAGUUGCACAAUUGCAGUUUUCAGGUUAAGAAACUCUCUGGCAGUCGUGGGAGUUCCUCUUUAGAAGCAACUCUGCUAACAUGCAAAAUCAAUGUCACUGAAGAUUUUGCUUAUGUUACUGCCUCCAACACUGUUUGAUCCUUACAUAAAAGAGACAUUUGUCAUUUGACAGGACUAAGACUGGGAAAGGUUGUGGAGGCUUCCCCCAGCUGUGGUGCACAAAUAUCUACACAUUCUGUCUGCUUAAGUUUCUUUGGAAUGUUUUCAUUGCAAAGGCUGGGUCACUGAGGGGGCCUGCCCUUGCCCUUUGACCUUGGUAAAUUACUGCCCCCAGUCCUGAUGAGUUUGCAGGACAAACUUCCAUCAUCUUCCCAACCUUGGCAAUGAGGGAGAAGGCUGGACCUCCCUGGCUUUGUUUUAAUCCAUUUUCACCUCCCUUUUCUUUUUCUUUCUCUUAAUUCUUGUUGUUCUUCCUUUGAGUGACUACCAGCCCCUAUGUAACUCUUUCUCUUUUUUUUCUACCCCUCUAUCUUGGCUGCCACUCAACUUCAAAGCUCACUUCAGCAGGAGAAAUGUGUGAGUUGUAUGGAAAUGCUGCCCUCUGGACUUUCAGUAUUUUAACCCCCGGACUUGAUUCAACUGCUUCCCAAAUGAUUGGAAAGAAAUAUCCCAAGCCCAGAACUGGAGAAACCCUUUUUUUUUCAGUGACCAAAUAGAUUUUGGUGUUGUGCCUAUGUACCUUUGAUCAAUUCAUAUUUCCAAUUUGGGGACAUGCUUUUUCUAAAGACAAGUGUCUUUCACUUAGAGGAACUUAGCUGAUGGAUGACUUGUACAGAUCCAAUUAGUCUUGUUUCAGAUUAUAGGCAUUCAGAAAGAGGUAUCUUUUAAUGGUUUUUUGGGACCGUGGGAAUUUUGUUACAAUAUCUGUCACAUCUUCCAGUAAAAAAGUGAUAGCAAUUUUUUUCUCUUUGGAGGUCUUUUUAAAAUGCCUUCUUUCCUCAUUGCUACAGAUAUGUUCUUGCAUAAAUCUUUGAAGCAAGCCAAUGUCUUCUAGAAUCUCAUUAAAUUUCAUGACUUUCCAUUCCUUGUGUUGAAAAUAUAUUCCAUUUUUUACAUAACAUUUUAAACAUUAUCCCUUAAAAAGGUAAAGGAUGUUCAUAGGGAAUCAGAAAGUUUGUAAAACACAAAUAAUAAAAAUUAAAAUAAUCCAUAAUGAUAAAAUUGUCACGUUUUAUCCUGUUUAUUUUGCUUAGAGAGUGAUAGAGCCUUUGUUGGGUG